rnacentral:rRNA from 1 species
GAUGAACGCUAGCGACAGGCCUAACACAUGCAAGUCGAGGGGCAGCAUAAAGGUAGCAAUACUUUGGUGGCGACCGGCGCACGGGUGAGUAACACGUAUGCAACCUGCCUGUAAGAGGGGAAUAACCCGGAGAAAUCCGGACUAAUACCGCAUAAUACUGUGAAACUGCAUGGUUUUACAGUUAAACAUUUAUGGCUUACAGAUGGGCAUGCGUAUGAUUAGCUAGUUGGUGAGGUAACGGCUCACCAAGGCAACGAUCAUUAGGGGUUCUGAGAGGAAGGUCCCCCACACUGGUACUGAGACACGGACCAGACUCCUACGGGAGGCAGCAGUGAGGAAUAUUGGUCAAUGGGCGAGAGCCUGAACCAGCCAAGUCGCGUGAAGGAAGAAGGUUCUAUGGAUUGUAAACUUCUUUUGUAAGGGAAUAAAAGUAGUACGUGUACUAUAUUGUAUGUACUUUACGAAUAAGGAUCGGCUAACUCCGUGCCAGCAGCCGCGGUAAA